AUUGAACGCUGGCGGCAUGCCUUACACAUGCAAGUCGAACGGCAGCACGGGAGCAAUCCUGGUGGCGAGUGGCGAACGGGUGAGUAAUAUAUCGGAACGUGCCCAAUCGUGGGGGCUAACGUAGCGAAGGCUACGCUAAUAACGCAUACGAUCUACGGAUGAAAGCGGGGGAUCGCAAGACCUCGCGCGAUUGGAGCGGCCGAUAUCAGAUUAGCUAGUUGGUGGGGUAAAGGCCCACCAAGGCGACGAUCUGUAGCUGGUCUGAGAGGACGACCAGCCACACUGGAACUGAGACACGGUCCAGACUCCUACGGGAGGCAGCAGUGGGGAACUUUGGACAAUGGGCGCAAGCCUGAUCCAGCAAUGCCGCGUGCAGGAUGAAGGCCUUCGGGUUGUAAACUGCUUUUGUACGGAGCGAAACGGUUUCCACUAAUACUGGGGGCUAAUGACGGUACCGUAAGAAUAAGCACCGGCUAACUACGUGCCAGCCGCCGCUGUAA
rnacentral:rRNA from 1 species